CCCACGGCUUGCGCCGUGGGCUGCAUUCUGUCGCCGCUCCGCGGCU
rfam:Acidobacteriales bacterium 13_1_40CM_3_55_5 13_1_40cm_3_scaffold_1189, whole genome shotgun sequence.